rnacentral:rRNA from 1 species
GGGUUGUGAGGUUAAGCGACUAAGCGUACACGGUGGAUGCCCUGGCAGUCAGAGGCGAUGAAGGACGUGCUAAUCUGCGAUAAGCGCCGGUAAGGUGAUAUGAACCGUUAUAACCGGCGAUUUCCGAAUGGGGAAACCCAGUGUGACUCGUCACACUAUCAUUAACUGAAUCCAUAGGUUAAUGAGGCGAACCGGGGGAACUGAAACAUCUAAGUA